rnacentral:rRNA from 1 species
AGCAGCCGCGGUAAUUCCAGCUCCAAUAGCGUAUAUUAAAGUUGUUGCAGUUAAAAAGCUCGUAGUUGAAUUUCGGGAUCAAUAUUUCGGUCAUGCCGUUGGUAUGCACUGUUAUCAUUGAUUUCUCACCUUCUAAAGAACCGUAAUGCCAUUAAUUUGGUGUUACGGGGAAUUAGGACUGUUACCUUGAAAAAUUAGAGUGUUUAAAGCAGGCUCACGCUUGAAUACAUUAGCAUGGAAUAAUGAAAUAGGACAUCCGAUUCUAUUUUGUUGGUUUCUAGGAUCGAUGUAAUGAUUAAUAGGGAUAGUUGGGGGCAUUAGUAUUCAAUUGUCAGAGGUGAAAUUCUUGGAUUUAUUGAAAGACUAACUACUGCGAAAGCAUUUGCCAAGGAUGUUUUCAUUAAUCAAGAAACGAAAGUUAGGGGAUCGAAGACGAUCAGAUACCGUCGUAGUCUUAAACC